UUUUUUUUAAAGGAGGGGCAUGAAGUGUUAAAUCGGCGUGGGGUCCGGGGCCAAAGGGCCCCGGAAAAAAAUUGAACUAUAAGAUGCUUUAUGGUACAUUCUGAGGCAUUUCUGAAUGCGUAAACUGAACAUUUAUUUGAAAAUUCUUUGCUUUUUUUGGAAGGAAAAGGGGGCAUUAAAACCCCGACGCUCCCCAUGGGUCCGGCCUAGCUGGCAGGGCUAGCUAGCCCGACCCGGCAAGGCUAGCUCUCUGCAGUACGCCCAGGACUGGCGUCGACCGCCGGCGUCCCCGCUAGACCCGCAGAGCUCGCAUACCUGCGGCUAGCAUCAGAUACAGUUUCAGCUGGUCGGCGCAGCUAGCCUUGCCCUGCUGGUGGUUCCUUGUCUUCACUCCAAAAAUAUCUACAAUGUAUACCAAAACCUAACAUGCUUGAAGAUGUAGAAGAUCCUCGCUAUCCAUCCACCUUCGCAGCUUCUUUUGCCUCACAAUUACCUCUGUCACAAGCCCUAUCAAACACCGUGCCUGAUUAUGGUGCAGCUGACAGCACUGGGGACACUUUGCCUCAAUUGAAGAUGUUAUUCAACCCUUAGACACAACCACUUGCCUGUUAAUUACCUGCUAUGAAAGAAAUUACAUAUUGUGAAACCAAACAUGCUUGAAGAUGUAGGAGAUCCUUGCUAUCCAUCCACCUUCGCAGCUUCUUUUGCCUCACAAUUACCUCUGUAACAAGUCCUAUUAAACACCGUGCCUGAUUAUGGUGCAGCUGACAGCACUGGGGACACUUUGCCUCAAUUGAAGCUGUUAUUCAACCCUUAGACACAACCACUUGCCUGCUAAUUACCUGCUAUGAAAGAAAUUACAUAUUGGGAGCUACUAGCAAAGGAACAACUUCAACACUGCAUCAAAUGGCUCGACCAAAGUUAUCAGUGGAGCAAUAUUCACCUGGUUUCCCCAAAACAAAACAGCACAUCCCAAAGAAUGGUGAACUCCAGUUGAAAAGACAUGCGAUUUUGAAAUAACCAUGGUCAUUUCAGACAUCUUGCGGGAGAAUUAAAAGGGGCAAGAACAGUCAGUGAUUUAGAUACAUUUUACCAUCAGGAGCAUUCACUGCAUUGCACAGUAUGUAACUGAAUAGUUGGAGAGAAACUGGACUCUGUGUAACUAUACUAGACAUGACAAGUACAGAAGUACUAGCUAGUAAUGGACAAGGAAUUUUACUCACGUGAGCAGUUCAAAACCAAAUCCAAGUAAGUUUUCCUCAAGUGUAUCCAACCAGCCCUUCAAAUGCUGCACCUAGACCACAAGGCCAUCCAAAACUGCACCACUCCGACAAUUCUGGGAGUUACAGUCAGAUCUCAAAUGGAAUUUCCAAGUGUUUGAUAUGAUAUCAAGUGCCGGCAAGCGACUAUACAUUUACGACAUCUCAGAGUAUCAUGUGAAGAUCUAGCAGACAUCUUCUCGACAUAUAUCCGAUCUUCGCUAGAAUACGCUUCUCCAGUUUGGUCCACAUCAAUUUCCCGAACAGUUAUCUUGCAGUCUGAAGAAAGUGCAGAAACGUGUCUGCUGUAUUAUCCUUGGAUAAGAACAGUUGUAUGAAACCACUCGUUUCUCUCCAGAGUCUAACUUCUUGCCGUCUUGCCCUUCUUGAAUCCUUUUCUCUCAAACUGUUUAAGUCAUCACCAGAUCGAAUUAUGUUCUAUCGCCAACUCGUCGCCAAACCUCUUGCCAUGAACUAUGAAACUCUCUACACAAAUAACUAUACCCUAUUGUAGAACUGAGAGACACCGCACUUCAAUUAUUCCCUAUAUCGUACAACUCCUUAACAACCAACUGUGAUUUUAAUUAUCUUUGUCAUGUUUGUAUUUAUUUAUUUUUGCUUACCAUAUUAUUGUUUUUCAUUCUUCUCUUUUCCAUUCUUCAUUAUUUUAUCCUCCCCUCUCAUGUACUUUUUCUCCUUCUCUCUAAAUCAGCAAUUAAAGUACUUACAUGCAUUAUGAUUAUUAUUACAAUUUUGAUUAAUUACAAAAGAGUCAUCUCAGAAUGAAGUAUCUUUUUAAUCAAUCUUUUUAUUCAUUAUGUUUAGCUUGUAUUUAGGUUUUUCACACCAAUUAACCAAUGUAUCGGUUAUUACAGAAUUUUGAAAUCACAAUUAUAGGCAUGUAUUUUCUGAGGAGAGGGUGGUGUUGACUUUUUGUGACUGCUUUUAUUUGUGUUUGCGAUGGGAUUUCAUUUCUUUCAUUAACCAUUGUCGGUUUAAUUCAAAACUGUAUGAGUUUUAGAGCUCAAUAAGUAAUAAGUCUUAUUUAGGUAUCAACAAAAGCUUAUACUCUGAACAUAAUUGUUUAAAUAUAAGGUUAUACUAUUUACAAUUGCUAUACAAUUUCUUUUUGGAGCAUUUUUGGGGUACUAAAGUUCUUGCUAGAUGUUAACCCAAUUAAGCCAUGCGUAAACAAUUUUCAAUAUUAUUAUUCUACUCAAAGAAAAGAACGGGGUGAUUUUUUUCCUAUUUGUAUACCUUUUUUCCUGUGUUUGGUACUAAAUUUGUCAUUACAGGAAAUAUAUAUUUUUGAAGUCAUUGCCAAUUUUCAUGAGUUCGGCUCAUGGUCAAUUUUAGUUGAAUUGCCCACAUUCAAAUGUAUACAAUUCUUUAAAAUCAUAUUGAUUUUAUUUUGGCAUGUAUUCUUGGGUAGCAAAAAUACACCCAUCACAUUAGGUAAUUAAGCUAAGGGUAAUUGCUGGUAAAUUUUCGAAUUCUCUGGUGUGCAAGUUUUAUAUAAUCUCUCUAUCUUUUAUGAGGGAAAAGGUUAAACAAAUACCUACAGUCUUCUCAGAAAAUACAUAGUGCAUGUACAGUGUAAGUUUAACUUAAAUAAUUGAUAUUCCUGUUAUAGGCAGUUUAAGACUUGUCAACUGAUAUCUUGUCAUGAUCUUGGUUUUUUGAUAAUUAAUCGGUAGUGUUAAUAGUUUAGCAUGGGUUGAGUUACUGAGAGGGCACUGAUGUCAUGGGGGGGGGGGCUGCUGCUCUUAUUAAUUGAAUUAAUUGUUUAGACAGAUAACUGGAAUCUCAAGUUGGAGCAUAUGUGGGAGGGGUCGAUCAUGUUGCAUUCCUUUACUUUUCUUUUCACUCCUUGAUGGGAUGUCACAUAUCAUUUCAGAUACCCCUCCCCCCCCCCUAUAGGUAUUCCUCUCAAGCAAAUCAAUCGAUAGAGGAAUGUGUAAUUGGGUUAGUUCAGCAAUUACAUAAUGAUGCCUUUUGUCUCAAAUUUUCAGACUUGUUGGAUUGGAUAGGAAAGGAUCUUAAAGUAGUGUAGUUAUUUUGGCUCUAUGUUCUCCAGUUUCGCUCUGAUGAGUGCGAGGUUAUGUCUUUUGUAUGUCUUUUUUGAGAGGCAUGUGCAUUAGUCUUUUCUCUCUUUCAUAGUAUCAACUUGUAUUGACAUCUUUAUAUUAAUUGCAAUCAUGAGAUGUGUAAUAACGAGUACAUUUGUAGGUUCUAUUAUAAUUUGUUUUUUUCUUUGGUGAUGGAUCCUUUCUCUGAAUGCAAUUUGUACUUUAUUUGCCUGUAUAAACAUCUAUGUGUUUUUACAUUUGUUGUUGUUCAGCUACCCUAAAUACCCGACGUUAUAUUAUUACCAAGAAUGUGUUUCUUCUAACAAUAUUGACAGAAGAAUUAUAUCUUUAAUAAACGAUUUUAUCAGUAUUGUACUACAUGUACUUCAAACUGGAUGAGAUUUAUUCUUUUGCAA
rnacentral:lncRNA from 1 species